UAUGAUCUUGGUUUGAAUUUG
rnacentral:piRNA from 1 species